rnacentral:tmRNA from 1 species
GGGGGCGCAACGGUCUCGACGGGGAUCGGGGAGAUAGAGAUGGCAUGCCGAGGUUCCAUGGCCUCGUAAAACACGUGGAAAACAAUUAGUCGCGAACCUAAGCGAACUACCCUUAGCUGCUUAAGCAGCUAACGCCUCUUGCCUCUCACCUGUUGGAGGUAAGCCGGGCGUCAGAAAGGCAGGUUAGCCCUUGUGGACGAGCUCAGGAAAACAGGGGCGAAAUCGAUAUGAGCUGGUUCCGUUCAUAGCCUGCCUGUGGGCGAUGGGCGGGACGAGAUGAAAAUACAGGAAAAGCAUGAAGGCAUCUCUAUUGAAUCAUCUCCGGACGCGGGUUCGACUCCCGCCGCCUCCACCA